rfam:Camelus ferus unplaced genomic scaffold scaffold526, whole genome shotgun sequence.
AGGGAAAUAGCUCAGUGGUAGAGUGCGUGCUCUGCGUGCAUGAGGUCCUGGGUUCGAUUCCCAGUGCCCCAU